rnacentral:lncRNA from 1 species
GAGGAGUGCUUAAUGUGUGUCAACGACUUAGCGAGUAUAUCGGCCAGUUGGUCAUCCGUAUGAACAUAGUGCAAUGAUAUCAGUCCUUCAAUGAGCUUGUCCCUUACGAAAUGACAAUUGACUUCUAUAUGUUUGGUCUGUUCAUGAAACACUAGAUUCUUUGCAAUGUGUAAAGCCACUUGAUUAUCACAGUAAACUAGAAUAGGCAAGGUUGGAGGCACUGUCAGCUCUUCCAAAAGCUUAGACAACCAAAUAAGCUCUGCAACUACCUUCCUUGCUUACCUGUACUUUGCCUCAGCAGAGCUCAAAGAUACAGUUGAUUGUUUCUUUGAUUUCCAGCUAAUUGGACUGUUCCCAAGCAACACAAUGAACCCACUUACAGACUUCCUAGUUUUAGGACCCAAUCCGAGUCACAAAAGGCUCGUAGUCUAUAAUCUGCAUUACUGGACAAGAAAAUCCCCAUACUAGGAUCAACUUUCAAGUACCUGAGAACAUGUGUAGCAGCUUUGAAAUGGGAGUCUCAAGGGCUCUGCAUAUAUUGACUAAGAUAUUGAACACUGUAAGCAAUGUCAAGUCAAGUGUUAGUG